rnacentral:rRNA from 1 species
GGUAGAAUUCCAGGUGUAGCGGUGAAAUGCGUAGAGAUCUGGAGGAAUACCGGUGGCGAAGGCGGCCCCCUGGACGAAGACUGACGCUCAGGUGCGAAAGCGUGGGGAGCAAACAGGAUUAGAUACCCUGGUAGUCCACGCCGUAAACGAUGUCGACUUGGAGGUUGUGCCCUUGAGGCGUGGCUUCCGGAGCUAACGCGUUAAGUCGACCGCCUGGGGAGUACGGCCGCAAGGUUAAAACUCAAAUGAAUUGACGGGGGCCCGCACAAGCGGUGGAGCAUGUGGUUUAAUUCGAUGCAACGCGAAGAACCUUACCUGGUCUUGACAUCCA